rnacentral:rRNA from 1 species
AUUGAACGCUGGCGGCAGGCCUAACACAUGCAAGUCGAACGGUAACAGGAAGAAGCUAGCUUCUUUGCUGACGAGUGGCGGACGGGUGAGUAAUGUCUGGGAAACUGCCUGAUGGAGAGGGAUAACUACUGGAAACGGUAGCUAAUACCGCAUAACGUCGCAAGACCAAAGAGGGGGACCUUCGGGCCUCUUGCCAUCGGAUGUGCCCAGAUGGGAUUAGCUAGUAGGUGGGGUAACGGCUCACCUAGGCGACGAUCCCUAGCUGGUCUGAGAGGAUGACCAGCCACACUGGAACUGAGACACGGUCCAGACUCCUACGGGAGGCAGCAGUGGGGAAUAUUGCACAAUGGGCGCAAGCCUGAUGCAGCCAUGCCGCGUGUAUGAAGAAGGCCUUCGGGUUGUAAAGUACUUUCAGCGGGGAGGAAGGGAGUAAAGUUAAUACCCUUGCUCAUUGACGUUACCCGCAGAAGAAGCACCGGCUAACUCCGUG